rnacentral:rRNA from 1 species
UACGUAGGGUGCGAGCGUUGUCCGGAAUUACUGGGCGUAAAGAGCUCGUAGGUGGUUUGUCGCGUUGUUCGUGAAAACCGGGGGCUUAACCCUCGGCGUGCGGGCGAUACGGGCAGACUUGAGUACUGCAGGGGAGACUGGAAUUCCUGGUGUAGCGGUGGAAUGCGCAGAUAUCAGGAGGAACACCGGUGGCGAAGGCGGGUCUCUGGGCAGAAACUGACGCUGAGGAGCGAAAGCGUGGGGAGCGAACAGG